ACAUAGACCAGCUCGCUCCCGGUGGACAGGAAGACCUCCGCCCCGUGGCACAGCACGCGAGGCUUGCCCACCGCCAGGCCUCCGAGCGGGCAGCAGAAGCCCGCCAGCCACCAAGAAUGCUCUGAGAACUGAUGGGGAAGGGGAAAAGAAAAGCCGGAGGAGUCCAGAAGGUCUCCGCACUCAGCACUUAGAGCACAGGCUCCGGACGCGCAGGCUCAGCGACCAUGGCUCACGGGCC